rnacentral:lncRNA from 1 species
GCUCCGCGUCCACUAUUUUCGGGCGAUUUACCACUGACCACAUAAUAUUUUUGAAAGCCACCUGUUUUCGCACCCCCCUGGAUGCAAAAAGUAUACACUGUGUAAUUAUUAAACUAUCAAGUUUCACAACUUUAUAUUUUGUCAACAUGCCGCGUUAAUAUUGCUCGGUUUAUGGUUGUCACAACUCCUUUGACAAAGACGGAUUGUAUUCACACUGUCACUGGUAAGGAAAUAUUAUUUUGUGCUUAGAUAUCAUUCGAGAAGUUUUUUCUGUAGUUUAUGUUUUGUUCACGUGCAUGUGUCACAUACCAGCUUUUCUCGACUAUGGCCUCCUUUCUGAUGUUUUUGCAUGCAGUUUGUUUCAUUCAAAUAUUAUAUUUCCAUUGUUCCUUGUGAUGUUCUCGUGUGCGUUUUUCCUACCUACUGUACAGUGUAUUUUAUAGGCCUGUUUGUAUUUAUGAAAGCAUAUUGUUAUUGAAUUUUUUUCCCUUCACAUAUUUAAGUAUUCCUGAUGCAAAGAAGCAUCCAGAGUUGUACAGCAUAUGGGUUGAGUAUAUGAAUAAACAUGCGACAGUGAAGUCUGUUCCUGCGAAAAGUAGUCGUUUGUGUUCAGAUCUCUUUAGUGCUGAUAUGUAUGAGAUAAAGGGCAAAAGCCAGAAAUUAGUAUUGAGACCGGAUGCUAAUACCAACAAUAGUUACACAAAGGUUUGCUCAGGUCAUUGGUGCGAUUUAAAGUGUUAAAGUGUUAUAUGUAACAGUGUGCUAAGGGACAAGUCAUUAUUAAUGCCGGGUAGGGGGCUGGAGGAAAUUUUUAUGAAUUGCAAAAAUUUUUCAUGACCCGGCCCUUAUUUUUCUAACAAACUAUUUUAUCCCCCCCCCUUAUUGAGGCAACAUAUUUCAUAGCCCCCCCUCCACCCCAAUUCUGAAUUCAAUUACUCUAAGUCAGUUUCGUAACCAUUUUUCCUGCCCUCAUACUCAGUUUACUAGCAGAUGUAAAGAAUAUUGUAAAUAUUGAAAAUAAAGAAUAUUGUAAAUAUUGAAAAUGAUAGCCAAGUAGAUAAUUCAGACUUUAUACCUGAAAAGUUGUUGGUCCUCAAACAAAAAACCCACAAAUCAGACCUACUUUUACUAAUUGAAAAAAAUACAUUUGUGUCUGGUGGAAGCAUUACUGUAUAUUGAAGAGAUGGCAGAAGAGACUGUCAACAACAUGCAGAAACAGAACAUGCAAAAGAGGUCCACUGUGUUAAAAGCAGGACAACAACUGUCAACUGAAUCUUGCAUUUGCAAAUGCAGUGCAUGACCCUUUAGACAAAUUCUUUGGUGAUGAUGAGGAUGACAAUUUCCAUAUACAGUGCCUAGAACACAACUUUUAGGUUCAAUAUAUUGGGCAUUACUGUUCAAUGUAUGUAUACUGUAUAUAUCCAUCACUCUUUUGAUAUUGCAUGUUACAAACUAUAGAUUUUAUUUUUUGCCCCCCCCCCUUUAUGUUCAAAAUAUUUUCUCCCCCCCCCCUUCACUGGUCAAAAUUUUUUUGUGGCCCCUCUAUAUUAAAAUUUAUUGUACAUUUACUAGGAAUGGUAUGCUGGAUGUGUUUUAAAAGAGGGCAUACAAAAAUUGUGUGCCCAAAUAGAGCAAAAACCCACUCAGACAAUUGUUCAAGAACAACAUAAUUGGCACAAUUGCCAUGAUAAUUCACUAAGUAACUUUGUGUAUGUUAUAAUGUGUGAAUGUUGUGUGAGUGUUGUGUGUUAAUUUUAAUUUAUUUAUUAGGCCAUUAAUAAAUAUGCUUGGUUUGAAAAAUAUUUUAGGGGGGGAUGUCCCCACUGCUGGUGCCACCACUGGAAAUAUCAGCUAAUUAUAGCCAGCAUAGCUUCAAUAAAAUAUAUUGAAGUAAAUAUGACAUCAAAUACUCUUUUAUUAAAAGCGAUAGCUAUGUGCGUGUUUCACUUGUAUCAUUUGGGACAACCCGAGAAUACCCUUAUGGAAUUAACAAAAUAAAACGUGGGUAUGAAACCAAGAAUACUUAUUGAUGGCCUGUAAUAGUAAUAUAAUAAUAUUGUAUAUAUUUUUAAAUUAAACUUUUUAAAUGUUGAAUAAAUCUAAUUUGUAAUGAAAAUUAAUAAUGCACAUAAGAAUAUGUUUAAUAAAAUAAUAUAUAAUUAUUGUUUGGUGUGCUAGAUCCUUAAUUAACUAAUCCUUUGCCUGGUCAAACAAUAUGAUUCUAUUGCCAUGAAUUGCCAUCGAAUAUAACAAUGAUUCCAGCCGGACAAACGUAGAGCCAUAUACAUUUGGGUAUUUAUUAGUGCAGAUUUACUUUCCCCAUAAUGUGCACAGAGUACAUUGUGAGUAGACAUGAUCAACAAUGUGCAGUUUCCAUAAUCUGAAAAAUACAAACAGCAGUAAAUAUUUAGAUGAUACAUGCAUAAACCGACAUAAGUUUCGUUUCAACAAAGCAUGGCUGUGUUCACAAAUUUAUACAUUAAAAUUAUAUGUAUAGUAGAAAUGCAAAAGGAACAACAUACUUUUUAUACAAUUUGAAAGAGAAUUAUGCACAUAUGAACGGCCUGUCCGGGGGGUACACCCUGGGACAACUGGGGGGGGAAACAAGGGGGAAUUUGGUAUUUUAUCUGUGUGUUCUUCCUGUGAACCCCGGGGAGAUUAGGGAGUGGUCAUUAUUUAUGGGGAGUGGGGGGUGUUGGGAUAUGGGGAAAAUAAGGAUUGAAAACUUUUUUGACCCCCCUCCAGACUGAAGGCAAACUUGUUGUGUCUCCCCCCUCAUAAAAGUAGAAACUUUUCUGACCCCCACCCCCCAGUGUGGAUUGAAAAAUUAACAGCAAUGAAACAGGUGUGCAUUGCAUGUAAAGUUAGAUAUUAGGACAAUCUGUUUAAUCUAGCUCAUGAUGUUUUACCCUGGUGAAUAUGAUUCAACCAUAUGUGAUUAAAAAUAUAUAUUAUGUGUUACUACUUUGCAAUGCAACAUUUGUCCCACCAUAACCCUAACCCAUGACCCAUCUUCAUACAGCAAAAUGAUUUGAACACAGCGUUUUUUUAAGAACUUGUCUGGGCACCAACCAUGGUAGUGCCUCGCAAUCAUGGGAGUCGGGCACACAAAGUUUAACAAGCUUGCUACCCCCUGAGUGACCCAGUUGUGUUAUUUACAUAAACAUACCAUGCAAAUACACUUAACUGAUCAGAUUCGGUCUAUCAACACACAAUGUAACGUUGUAUAUCCAAAAAUCUGUUUCAGAAAAUGCUUACAUUUCAGUUCUAGGGGUGGAAAAAUACAAAACAUUUUCUGGGGGAGAAUCCCCGGACCCCCCUACUAGUACAUACAAUACCGCACCAAACUUUUUGUCACCAACAACCAUCUGUCAUCUCUCCGCACUCAAUAUAGUAUGGUCCCUUUUUGUAGAUGUCCACCCCAGAGCAGGGAAAUUUUGAGUAUCUAGAUUGUUGGAAAUAGCAUUUUCAGAGUCUUCUUUUUUGCUAUUUGUGAUUAUAGAAAUCAGAACUCUAGACAUCGUAUUUAAGUUCAAAAACUUUUAUGACCCCCCCCC